GUGCCAGCAGCCGCGGUAACACGUAGGGGACGAGCGUUGUCCGGAUUCAUUGGGCGUAAAGCGCGCGUAGGCGGCCCGGAAAGUCGGAUGUGAAAACCUGGGGCUCAACCCCAGGCGUGCACCCGAUACUCCCGGGCUGGAGGCAGGUAGGGGAGAUCGGAAUUCCUGGUGUAGCGGUGAAAUGCGCAGAUAUCAGGAGGAACACCGGUGGCGAAGGCGGAUCUCUGGGCCUUGCCUGACGCUGAGGCGCGAAAGCUAGGGGAGCGAACAGGAUUAGAUACCCUGGUAGUCC
rnacentral:rRNA from 1 species